rnacentral:lncRNA from 1 species
AUUGAUUCAUAUAGGAGGAAAAUGUUCUCUAUUGAUUCAAAUGUUGUACCUAUGGGAUAGGGAUAGAGAAAGAGGAAAAACCGAAGAUUUCACAUAGUGCUUUUGAUCGAAAAAUCAAUCUGAUUUAUUUCGUACCCCUCGCUCAAUGAGAAAAUGGGUCAGAUUCUAUAGGAUCAAACCUAUGGGACUUAGGGAAUGAUGGAAGGGAAUAAAAUAAAAUAAAAAAAGAAAUCAAAAAAAGAGGGGAAAAAUAAUCAAAAUAAUAAAUAAGUAAAUAAAAAUGAAGUAGAAGAACCCAGAUUCCAAAUGAACAAAUUCAAACUUGAAAAGGAUCUUUCUAAUUCUCGAAGAAUGAGGGGUAAAGGGAUUGAUCGAGAAAGAUCUCUUGUUCUUAUUAUAAGAUCGUGUGAUUGGAUCCG